rnacentral:rRNA from 1 species
UACGAAGGGGGCUAGCGUUGUUCGGAAUUACUGGGCGUAAAGGGCGCGUAGGCGGUUUGCUAAGUUGGACGUGAAAACUCUGGGCUUAACCCAGAGCCUGCAUCCAAAACUGGCAAGCUGGAGUAUUGGAGGGGGAAGCGGAAUUCCUGGUGUAGCAGUGAAAUGCGUAGAUAUCAGGAGGAACACCGGUGGCGAAGGCGGCUUCCUGGACAAUAACUGACGCUGAGGCGCGAAAGCUAGGGGAGCAAACAGG